GUGGGGAAUAUUGGACAAUGGGGGGAACCCUGAUCCAGCCAUGCCGCGUGUGUGAAGAAGGCCUUUUGGUUGUAAAGCACUUUAAGCGAGGAGGAGGCUACUGGUACUAAUACUACCAGCUAGUGGACGUUACUCGCAGAAUAAGCACCUGCUAACUCUGUGCCAGCAGCCGCGGUAAUACAGAGGGUGCGAGCGUUAAUCGGAUUUACUGGGCGUAAAGCGUGCGUAGGUGGCUUUUUAAGCCAAAUGUGAAAUCCCCGAGCUUAACUUGGGAAUUGCAUUCGAUACUGGAAAGCUAGAGUAUGGGAGAGGAUGGUAGAAUUCCAGGUGUAGCGGUGAAAUGCGUAGAGAUCUUGAGGAAUACCGAUGGCGAAGGCAGCCAUCUGGCCUAAUACUGACACUGAGGUACGAAAGCAUGGGGAGCAAACAGG
rnacentral:rRNA from 1 species